CAGUGAAACUCUGGUUCUCAUCCGAUCACCGAAGUUAAGCAAGGUCGAGCUUGCCCAGUACCUAGAUGGGUGACCACUUGGUAAUGCCAGACGCUGU